GUGCCUUGGUUGGUGGUCCUGAUGCAAAUGACUUUUGGGAAGACAGUAGAUACGACUAUGAACAGAAUGAAGUUGCAUGUGACUAUAAUGCAGGAUUUCAAGCUACUCUGGCAGGCUUGAUGUCAAUGGAAGCAAGAGGUAUUCUUCCAGAUUCUUGUAAAGUCUUAGCGGGUGUUUAAUUUCAGUAUAUGGUAUAUAUCAACCUGAUCUCUCUUCAGAAAAUAAAACUUUUAUUUCAAGUCA